rfam:Felis catus isolate Cinnamon breed Abyssinian chromosome A3, whole genome shotgun sequence.
GCCUGGGUGGCUCAGUCGGUUGAGCAUCCGACUUCGGCUCGGGUCAUGAUCUCACAGCUUGUGGGUUCAAGCCCCACACUGGGUC